rnacentral:rRNA from 1 species
GGCCUGCCAAGCCGGAGUGAAAGCCCCGGGCUCAACCGGGAACGGCAUUCGGAACUGGCAGGCUAGAGUGCAGGAGAGGAAGGUGGAAUUCCCGGGUGUAGCGGUGAAAUGCGUAGAGAUCGGGAGGAAUACCAGUGGCGAAGGCGGCCUUCUGGACUGACACUGACGCUGAGGCGCGAAAGCGUGGGUAGCAAACAGGAUUAGAUACCCUGGUAGUCCACGCCGUAAACGAUGUCGACCAGCCGUUGGACCCCCUGAGGGUCUGGUGGCGCAGUUAACGCAAUAAGUCGACCGCCUGGGGAGUACGGCCGCAAGGCUAAAACUCAAAUGAAUUGACGGGGGCCCGCACAAGCGGUGGAGCAUGUGGUUUAAUUCGAUGCAACGCGAAGAACCUUACCUGCCCUUGACAUCCUGCGAACCCGGAAGAGAUUCCGGGGUGCCUUCGGGAACGCAGAGACAGGUGCUGCAUGGCUGUCGUCAGCUCGUGUUGUGAAAUGUUGGGUUAAGUCCCGUAACGAGCGCAACCCCUAUCCCUUUUUGCCAGCGGUCCGGCCGGGAACUUCAGGGAGACUGCCGGUGACAAACCGGAGGAAGGUGGGGACGACGUCAAGUCAUCAUGGCCCUUACGGGCAGGGCUACACACGUGCUACAAUGGCCGGUACAAAGGGUUGCGAAGCGGCGACGUGAAGCCAAUCCCGCAAAGCCGGCCUCAGUCCGGAUCGGAGUCUGCAACUCGACUCCGUGAAGUCGGAAUCGCUAGUAAUCGUGGAUCAGAAUGCCACGGUGAAUACGUUCCCGGGCCUUGUACACACCGCCCGUCACACCAUGGGAGUGGACUGCACCAGAAGUGGUUAGCUUAACCUUCGGGAGAGCGAUCACCACGGUGUGGUUCAUGACUGGGGUGAAGUCGUAACAAGGUAACC